rnacentral:lncRNA from 10 species
GCAAUUCUCCCACCUCAGUCUCCCAAGUAGUUGGGACUACAGGCGUGCACCACGAUGCCCGGCUAAUUUUUGUAUUUUUUGGUAGUGACGGGGUUUCACCACAUUGACCAAGCUGGUCUCGAACUCCUGAUCUCAGUGAUCUGCACGCCUCGGCUUCCCAAAGUGAUGGAAUUACAGGCAUGAGCCACUAAGCCAGCCCACACUUCUUUCAAGCCUCAGAGAAACACCUUAGUAAGCUAAUGAAAAAGGAGGAGCAGGAGGAGGGACAAAAGCAGGAGAACCAGAAACCAAAUUUCCGUAAAGUAUCCUGAGACUUAUUGAUGAUGUUCAAACACUUUGAGUUCUAAUUGAUGACGGAGUUCCGGUCUUGUUGCUCAGGCUGGAGUGCAAUGGAGCAAUCUCAGCUCACUGCAAUCUCCACCUCCCGGGUUCAAGUGAUUCUCCUACCUCAGCCUCCUGAGUCGCUGGGAUUAUAGGCAUGCACCACCACUCCCGGCU